rnacentral:rRNA from 1 species
GGUAGACGCAGAGAACUGAAACAUCUUAGUACCUGCAGGAAGAGAAAGAAAAUUCGAUUCCCUGAGUAGCGGCGAGCGAAACGGGAAGAGCCCAAACCAACAAGCUUGCUUGUUGGGGUUGUAGGACUCCAAUAUGGUAGUCUGUUAGUAUAGUUGAAGGAUUUGGAAAAUUCCGCUAAAGAGGGUGAAAGCCCCGUAGACGAAAUGCUAACAACACCUAGGAGGAUCCUGAGUACGGCGGAACACGAGAAAUUCCGUCGGAAUCCGCGGGGACCAUCCCGCAAGGCUAAAUACUCCCUAGUGACCCAUAGUGAACCAGUACCGUGAGGGAAAGGUGAAAAGCACCCCGGAAGGGGAGUGAAAUAGAUCCUGAAACCGUGUGCCUACAACAAGUCAAAGCUCGUUAAUGAGUGAUGGCGUGCCUUUUGUAGAAUGAACCGGCGAGUUACGAUUGCAUGCGAGGUUAAGUCGAAGAGACGGAGCCGCAGCGAAAGCGAGUCUGAAUAGGGCGAAUGAGUAUGUAGUCGUAGACCCGAAACCAUGUGAUCUACCCAUGUCCAGGUUGAAGGUGCGGUAAAACGCACUGGAGGACCGAACCCACGUACGUUGAAAAGUGCGGGGAUGAGGUGUGGGUAGCGGAGAAAUUCCAAACGAACUUGGAGAUAGCUGGUUCUCUCCGAAAUAGCUUUAGGGCUAGCCUCGGAAUUGAGAAUGAUGGAGGUAGAGCACUGUUUGGACUAGGGGCCCAUCUCGGGUUACCGAAUUCAGAUAAACUCCGAAUGCCAUUCAUUUAUAUCCGGGAGUCAGACUGCGAGUGAUAAGAUCCGUAGUCGAAAGGGAAACAGCCCAGACCACCAGCUAAGGUCCCAAAAUAUAUGUUAAGUGGAAAAGGAUGUGGGGUUGCACAGACAACUAGGAUGUUGGCUUAGAAGCA